UCUCUCUCUCUCUCUCUCUCUCUCUCUCAUCUUAUGGAGAUGAGAGAGAGAGAUUGAUUUUUUGUACAUGUACAUUUGUUUUGUACAAUAUAGUUUUAUAGAUAAACGUGAUGUUACUGUGUCCUUAAUUUUUUCAUAUUUUCCUUGCUAUAGUUACAGAUAUUUGCAUUUAAAUAAAAACAGACUGGAAUAUAAAAUUAAAAUAAUUAGUGAGUAUUUUCUGGGGCCCCAGAAUGAACUUGACAGUUUAUGAUUUGUAUUAAAGAUUUGUAAAACUUUGUAUUAAACAUUUUACAGAUAUUUUGCUGUUUUUACCUUAAUGUUAAUUUUUGAAAGUUAGUAGAUAAUUUUUUAUCUUCAAAUUGUAUUUAAUCAUGAAAAUACAGUAAUUAAUGAAUGUCUCUCUAAGAAAAAAUUCAUGAAUUUGUGAAAGUUCCCGUGUGAUAGCGGAGAUGUUUCACGAAAAUCCUUGAUAGUGUGAAGCGUGAAAAAGGGGGGUCCAGUGUACUUUACUUAUACAGGGUAUACACAUAUAAACUAACAAAAUGUAUUUUUACUGUAGUAAAGUAUGUACUGUACUGUACUUUAAUACUGUAUGCAUCAAUGUGCCAUAAAGUGCUAAUUUUAAUGUUUUCAUUAUAUAGACUAAUACUAUACGUAUUCCUACUUUACAUAGGUAAUUCAUCGGCAACUGCCAUAAGUAAUAGUACUCUGUACAUAGAGAACAGUUUGAUUACAGUACAGUAACACAGCAUGGAGUGUAGGUACGUUUUUAUUGUACAAGAUACCCAAAGGAUUAAAGAUAAGGCUUUCAUCACUGUACAGUAUCGUACUAUACAGUACUACUGUACAGUAAAUCCUAUAAGUAUACAAUAUAUUUUAGUUACUGCUCCGCAAUGGGAUUACAGCGUCGUUAAUCAGUCUAAGGUGCCGUUAGUAACACUACGGUGCCAUAACAAAGAUGUAGGCACCCAUAGACUUCGAUUUUGGUUAAUGUCACACCGCGGGGGACAAAAGCCCUGGUGGUAACAGUGGACUGUCUGAGACCCCCUCCAAAAAUCCAUAUAAUUGCCUGCAGUAUUUUAAUAGUUCAAACACCAAAUAUACCAUAAACUAUCAUCCUAAAACACAUCAAUAACAUUUCAGAGUCAUUUUACAACAUUACCCUUAAAAAUAUGCUAUACAGUAGUACCUCGAGAUACGAAAGGCUCAACUUACGAAAAAUCCAGUUACGAAAGCAAAGACGAAAAAUUUUACUGCUCUACAUAACGAAAAGUUUUCAAGAUACGAAAGGUUGUUGCUGUAAAGUCCCGAGAUUCGCCCGGACCACCGAGAACAAUUUUAAAACUCCCGCGCCGCCAACUGAGUAAACUCGCCACCAUCCUCCCGCUCUCCCAUUGGUUCCUGAUGCUAGUCACCCCAUAAGGUCCUGCUCUCCUAUUGGUCAGCAUCUACCCCUUGUGCUUUAAGUAUUCUAUUGGUAAAAGGUUGCUGUAAAUUGAAAAAACUUAUUCAUGUAAUACAUUUAAUAAAAAAAAAACAUUAGGUAAAGAUAGAAUAAAGAAUAGAAAUGAAUGGUUAUCAUACUGUUUGGUAGUUUCAGUAGUUGAAGAGAGAUAAUGAAAAUUUAUGGCUUACUGUGUAAAAGUGAUUGCUUGGCGAUCGUUCGAUACUAGUAAGUGCUGGAUGUAAACAGACGUUUGGAAGCUUUUUUUGUUUGUUUAUUAUAGUUAAUGGUUACUUAAUAAUUAUUUGAAAUGAGUACAUGCAAUACAUUUAAUACAAAAAUUGUGAAUUAGAUAUCAGAAAAUAUAAAAUAAAUCAGUCUGCCAACAAAUAGGUAUUUUUUAGAAUUCUUCUUCUGUUUUAUUAUUACGUAUUACGUAUGUUUCAUUACAGCUGUCAGUAACUCGGUAUCUCCAUUAGGUAAAGAUAGAAUAAAGAAUAGAAAUGAAUGGUUAUUAUACUGUUUGGUGGUUUCAUUAGUUGAAGAGAGAUAUUAAUGACAAUUUAUGGCUUACUGUGUGCUAGGAAAAAUGAUUGCUUGGCGUUCGUUCGAUACUCGUAAGAAUGUAAACAAUCGAUUGGAAGGUCAGUGAAGUUGGCCCUGACGGUCCCCAACCCAACAGAGCUGGCUAAUUCAAUCCAUGCCAGCCGUCGCUCUUGUAUGGAAGGAAUUGGAAAAAUGACUAAAUUGGUAACUUUCCCGAUGAGUGAGUAGACACGAGACAUAUGGAAAGAGGUUCAGUGUGUCUUUAGACGUAGUGGGUGGUAGUCAUUAUUUGCCCCCUCUCCAGCCUGGGAUUUACCAGAAAGUGACUGCUAAGUUUCAAUUCAUUUAUUUCAUUCAGGUGGCUGUGGGACCUCACUCACAGUUGUCCGGGGAGAAAAUAGCUUGUAUACACGCUCCCCAUAAUGCUGGUUUCGGCAACAAAGCCAUAGCAGAUGAGAAUAGUGUACCGAGGCGUAGCGUUAAUCCUUGGGUGAAAAAGUGCCGUGAAGCCGCUGGCGACCAGACUCCUACCCACAAACAGUGCUUGGGAAGCAAGAAAAGUUUCCCCACAGUCUUUACGAGUGAUUAGAAGACAGUGCUUGAUUCUUCUCGCACAGCACAUCAGUUGAAGGAACAAAUCUCUAAUGUGCUUGGUGAGGUGAGUGUUCGUACUGUGUCCCGGUAUGUGAAGAGGGGGCUGAACUUAGCCUCACACGUUGCUGUGAGGAAGCCAUUUUUAACUGCGCGCUGUAAAGCUAAUAGGGUUGCCUUUGCUAAAAAGUUUAUCGAGCCUCUUGACAAAGAACAAGCUAUUUUGUGGUCAGAUGAGAGCACAUUUACAUUAACAGGUAUGCGGUUUAGGCAGGUUCGUCAAUCACUGAAUGCUUACGGAUGUGACCCACGGUACACCAUUAUCACUGUCAAGCACCCGGACUCAGUGAUGGUAUGGUGCUUUCUUGUAUCAUGGAGUUGUUGAAUUAGUGUUUCUUGAGAAGGGUGUUACUAUGAAUAGUGAGAGGUUUUUAGACCUAUUGUAUGAUCAUCUUGAGGACUGUUUUGAUUCUUGCAAAGCUGAAAUUUUUAUGCAGGAUGGUGCCCCUUGCCAUGCCAGUAAGACGGUCACUAAUUGGCCCACUAAUUGUGGUGUAUUGGGUACUUUAGUCCAUGGCCAGGAAAUAGCCCAGACUUAAACUAUUGAAAAUCUCUGAUGUAUCACGGAAAGAGAGCUCAGAAACAAAGAUACAGCUCAGUGCCACAAUUGGUGGCUAAGAAGCUGAAACUGUACUUCAAGAUUCCUCCAUCAUUUAUAUUGAUACAAAGCUCAGGACCCUAGUGCCAUUCCUCUCCAGUGCCAAUAAUUUCUGUUGAAGACAUUGUUAUGGUUUUAUUUUGUAAGGUUCCUACUAAACCUAGAUUUUUUGCUAGUAGUUAUAUGUAUAAAAUCUACAGUGCGUACUCUGAAUUCCUGUUGACAAUAGUUCACUAAAUUCACCAUUACCUAACCAGGCACAAACCCACAAUCAAUCAUUCAGUUUUCUGCUAUUUAAUGUAUUUAAUUUAACUUUUGCUCUAUACAUUAUUGCAUACAACACCCUUAAGACAACCCCCCCUUUUUUAUGUGUAUGGCUCACAAUACAAACAGUGCACAGCAUGACUAACAAAUCCAGUAUCCAGUUUCUUCCUUUGCAAAUUCACUCACAAACUAAUUGUUUCCAAUUAUUGAUGCACAGUGGAUCUAGAUCACAAGAAUUUGGAACUAUGUACGUAGUAUUAACUUCUUUACUUUUCAGCACUGCACACUUUCCAGAAAGCACACAAUGUUUAUCAGCAUUUUUGAUUGAAAUCUCUUAUCAGAUGCUCACAACACUUGUUCACUUUCUUUUGUCUUAUUUCAAUCCUGCUACACUGCCGCCAAGCAUAUCUUCAGAGAGGUGAUAUUCCCUCCCACCGCUUCAGACCUGCAAUGAGAUAAAGCUACUAUUAGUAUUCAUUCAAGAGAAAAACUAGUAAUAUAAGAAAAACUGAUAUAUUAGUAUGAAAAUGUCCAGUAACUGACAUUACGAGUUUCAUAUUUCACGCGUACGUACAGUCCAGAAUGACUAGUGAAGAAUGGCUACCAGAACAUGUAGAUUAUACGGGUAUUUUUUUUCAUGUUUAAUAAUAAAAAUGAAUAAUUUA